CCUACGGGGGGCAGCAGUAGGGAAUAUUCCUCAAUGGGGGAAACCCUGACGCAGCAACGCCGCGUGGAGGAUGAAGGUUUUCGGAUUGUAAACUCCUUUUGUUAGAGAAGAACAUGACGGUAUCUAACUAAUAAGCACCGGCUAACUACGUGCCAGCAGCCGCGGUAAUACGUAGGGUGCAAGCGUUACUCGGAAUCACUGGGCGUAAAGAGCGCGUAGACGGGUUAGCAAGACAGAUGUGAAAGCCUGUGGCUUAACCCUAGUACUGCAUUUGAAACUGUUAUUCUAGAGUGU
rnacentral:rRNA from 1 species